AUUGAACGCUGGCGGGAUGCUUUACACAUGCAAGUCGAACGAGUGGCGGACGGGUGAGUAAUAUCUCGGAACGUGCCCAGUAGCGGGGGAUAACUACUGGAAAGAGUGGCUAAUACCGCAUACUAUUGGAUCUGCCGAUAUGGGAUUAGCUAGUUGGUGGGGUAAUGGCUCACCUAGGCGACGAUCCGUAGCUGGUCUGAGAGGAUGACCAGCCAGACUGGAACUGAGACACGGUCCAGACUCCUACGUGAGGCAGCAGUGGGGAAUUGUGCACAAUGGGCGCAAGCCUGAUCCAGCCAUGCCGCGUGUGUGAAGAAGGCCUUCGGGUUGUAAAGCACUUUCAGCGGGGAGGCGUUACUCGCAGAAGAAGCACCGGCUAACUCCGUGCCAGCAGCCGCGGUAAUUC
rnacentral:rRNA from 1 species